AAAAACUUAGUUAAAAUAAUAACAUUAACUUGUCAAGUUAAACUUACCAACUUUGGUAGUUUUUA
rnacentral:tRNA from 1 species